rnacentral:rRNA from 1 species
CCUACGGGAGGCAGCAGUGGGGAAUAUUGGACAAUGGGGGGAACCCUGAUCCAGCCAUGCCGCGUGUGUGAAGAAGGCCCUCGGGUUGUAAAGCACUUUCAGUGAGGAAGAACGCCUGGUGGUUAAUACCCAUCAGGAAAGACAUCACUCACAGAAGAAGCACCGGCUAACUCCGUGCCAGCAGCCGCGGUAAUACGGAGGGUGCGAGCGUUAAUCGGAAUUACUGGGCGUAAAGCGCGCGUAGGUGGCUUGAUAAGCCGGUUGUGAAAGCCCCGGGCUCAACCUGGGAACGGCAUCCGGAACUGUCAAGCUAGAGUGCAGGAGAGGAAGGUAGAAUUCCCGGUGUAGCGGUGAAAUGCGUAGAGAUCGGGAGGAGUACCAGUGGCGAAGGCGGCCUUCUGGACUGACACUGACACUGAGGUGCGAAAGCGUGGGUAGCAAACAGGAUUAGAUAGCCUGGUAGUC